rnacentral:lncRNA from 1 species
AAUGGAAUGGAAUGGAAUGGAAUGGAAUGGAAUGGAAUAGGACAGGACAGGACAGGACAGGACAGGAGACAGGACAGGACAGGACAGGACAGGACAGGACAGGACAGGACAGGACAGGACAGGACAGGACAGGACAGGACAGAACAGAAACAGAAUAGAAAUAAAUAGCAAAGUGAGGAGGUUGGGAGGGUGGUGGAGAGUAUGGGAACAGGAGGGUUCAGGUGGAGGAAGGAUGAUAGAGAGAGUACUGUGAGAGACAUCUGGAGUCAGGAGCAUCUCCUGGAAGAUCUAGGAACCUAAUGCAAUGGAAAUUCCCAGAAAACUAUGAUGGUGCCCUACCUAAGACAUCUAGCAAUAAGUAAUAGGGAGCCUGAACUGGACAUCUCCUGUAACCAGACAAAACUUCCAGCGGAAGGAAUGGGACACCAACUCAAUCAGCAUAACUUCAAUCCUACAAUUUGUCCUUUCUACAAGAAGCCACAAAGGAAUAUAAAGACCAUGUGAUCUCCAGAGAUGCUUCACAACAGGAAAGAUACUAAGAAAGAGCAGACUGCCCAGAGAUAAGAAGCAAAAACAACCAAACAACAUCAACAAAGCAGAUCAAAAGCUUCCAUACAAAGCCCGGACAAGGCAACCCAAUGGGAGGAAAUAAUACCAGGAGCAGGCAAAGGGUUUUCAUGUUACUUAGAGUCCUAGCUAGAACA